AUUUUAUUUCCCAGGCCCAAGUUUUUAUUCAGCAGCCCACUUUAACCCAUUUUCCCUUUAAUUCAUUUAAGGACCAGAUUUGGGCAUACUUCUUUUUCCAAUUCCCCUUUUAUUUUCCAGCCGCCCCCCUCCUAUGUACAUUGGAGGACAGGCCCAGGUGGAGAAAUCUUCUUUCUCCAUCGUCCUCGGCUUGCAAAUUCGAUGGCUGCGAUCGCUUGUUCUGUUGAAGGUUCGUACUCGUUUAGCUGGCGUCCUCAUCCUUUGGGUGAAGAGAGGAUUUCGAAUUCAAAAGGGGACAUGGAAUCACGAAUUUGCCCCAAACCUUCUUUCGUUUUCACCCCGCUCUCCACCUUUGAGCAGUAGCUAUAUAUAUUGCCAUUUCCUCACUGUUUGGGGGUUGGAAAAAUUUGUUUGGAGGAAAGGUUUUCUGUUUUCUUAAAAGAUUCUUGAAGAGAAUACUCAAGCUUUUCUUAGUUUUUUUUUAAAAAAAAAAUACAUUUCAAAGACUGAAAGUUUAGUUCCGGUAGUGUUAUAGCAUUUCCGGCUUAUUGUUCGAGCUUUGUUCGUGAUUCCUACCCUGUUGGAGCUUUCUUGGUUGUUGUUUUGUAUCGACGUCUGCGUGGUGAGGAUUGUCAUUCCCCUGCUCGCCUGAUUCGGUUCGCUGCUCGAAAAAGUCUUCAUGGACCUCACUCCAAUUCCUUGCACCUUCUUGUUGAGCCGUAAAGGCUCAAAACAUAUUUCUUCGAGUCGUAGACCCCCCUCAAGACUGGCGUACAGGUUGAAAAAAAACGAGCUGCUGGAAAUUACAGUUUGCAGAAACUUGACUGCAGUUUUUUUUUUUAAGCUGUGCACUUGCUUUAUAUACGGUGUAUACACUGAUAUACAGAUCGAAAAUGCACAGGGAAUUCGAACUCAAAAUCUGGGUUGAUGUCGGUGAAAAUACACUGCUUAAAAGUAUUUUUGAACUUUCGAAAGUUGAAAAAGAGGCUGAUAUACAGACUGUAUACACUGAUAUACAGAGACGGUAUACCUUAGAUAUGUGUAAAAAAUGUGAAUUGAAGGUUAAAGUACAGGGACGCCGAUUUUAAUUAAAAGACAGGAUUAGGCAAUGAAUUCGUGCGUAGGGUACAUCCCGUAUACAGUGGUGUACAUUUUUGGGCAGCGAUAUAUAUUUGUUAAACAGGUUAAAAAAUGAUACAGGUACAAAUACGCAGAAACUACAUGGGAAAUAUAGGGGAAAUAGCGGAAAAUGUGUAUUCAAACAAAUGAAGGGCUCAAAAAGUCCAAAAAUGGAUUAAAUAUACAUCGUAUACAGUAGUAUACAUCUUGUGUAUAUUCCUUAUUUCUUUUUUUUUUUCCAGGAAAAUUGGGCCAGAGCCCUUUUCAGCAAAGUUUUUAAUAGGCCCAAAGGCCAUUGUUUUGCAGGAUGUUUAAAUUGCUAAAGAGGGCCCAAUUAUUAGAAUUUAGGACAGGUAAGCUAAAGCCCAAUUGAAUGAGUUUGGGCAAUCAAGCCCAAGUUCAAAUAAUUUUCAUCUUUCUUUAUUGUUUGUUUGAGUUAAUUAAUUUUUGGUAGAAUCUUUAUAAUCUUAUAAAGGGUAGCCAUAUUUCAUUA